AUUGAACGCUGGCGGCAGGCCUAACACAUGCAAGUCGAACGAGUGGCGGACGGGUGAGUAAUGUCGGGGAAACUGCCCGAUGGAGGGGGAUAACUGCGGUAAACGGUAGCUAAAACCGAAAACAAGCGUUUGGGCCGAGAUGGGAUUAGCGAGUAGGUGGGGUAACGGCACACCUAGGCGACGAUCCCUAGCUUGUCUGAGAGGUUGACCAGCCACACUGGAACUGAGACACGGUCCAGCCUCCUACGGGAGGCAGCAGUGGGGAAUAUUGCACAAUGGGCGCAAGCCUGAUGAAGCCAUGCCGCGUGUAUGAAGAAGGCCUUCGGGUUGUAAAGUACUUUCAGCGAGGAGGCGUUACUCGAAGAAGAAGCACCGGCUAACUCCGUGCCAGCAGCCGCGGUAAUAC
rnacentral:rRNA from 1 species